AACGCGAAGAACCUUACCUGGCCUUGACAUCUACGGAACCUUGCAGAGAUGCAGGGGUGCCUUCGGGAACCGUAAGACAGGUGCUGCAUGGCUGUCGUCAGCUCGUGUCGUGAGAUGUUGGGUUAAGUCCCGCAACGAGCGCAACCCUUGUCCUUAGUUGCCAUCAUUCAGUUGGGCCCUCUAAGGGGACUGCCGGUGAUAAGCCGCGAGGAAGGUGGGGAUGACGUCAAGUCCUCAUGGCCCUUACGGGCUGGGCUACACACGUGCUACAAUGGCGGUGACAGUGGGACGCAAUGGGGGCAACCCUGCGCAAAUCUCAAAAAGCCGUCUCAGUUCGGAUUGUGCUCUGCAACUCGAGCACAUGAAGUUGGAAUCGCUAGUAAUCGCAGAUCAGCACGCUGCGGUGAAUACGUUCCCGGGCCUUGUACACACCGCUACAGU
rnacentral:rRNA from 1 species